UAUUAAAGUUGUUGCAGUUAAAAAGCUCGUAGUUGAACUUCAGACCUGGCUGGGCGGUCUGCCUAACGGUAUGUACUGUCCGGCUGGGUCUUACCUCUUGGUGAGCCGGCAUGCCCUUCACUGGGUGUGUCGGGGAACCAGGACUUUUACCUUGAGAAAAUUAGAGUGUUCAAAGCAGGCUUAUGCCCGAAUACAUUAGCAUGGAAUAAUAAAAUAGGACGUGCGGUUCUAUUUUGUUGGUUUCUAGAGUCGCCGUAAUGAUUAAUAGGGAUAGUUGGGGGCAUUAGUAUUCCGUUGCUAGAGGUGAAGUUCUUGGAUUUACGGAAGACUAACUAUUGCGAAAGCAUUUGCCAAGGAUGUUUUCAUUAAUCAAGAACGAAGGUUAGGGGAUCGAAAACGAUCAGAUACCGUUGUAGUCUUAACAGUAAACUAUGCCGACUAGGGAUCGGGCGAACUCAAUUUGAUGUGUCGCUCGGCACCUUACGAGAAAUCAAAAGUCUUUGGGUUCUGGGGGGGAGUAUGGUCGCAAGGGCUGAAACUUAAAGGAAUUGACGGAAGGGCACCACCAGGUGUGGAGCCUGCGGCUUAAUUUGACUCAACACGGGGAAACUCACCAGGUCCAGACAUGACUAGGAUUGACAGAUUGAUAGCUCUUUCAUGAUUUUAUGGGUGGUGGUGCAUGGCCGUUCUUAGUUGNUGGAGUGAUUUGUCUGGUUAAUUCCGAUAACGAACGAGACCUUAACCUGCUAAAUAGCCAGGCCGGCUUUUGCUGGUCGCCGGCUUCUUAGAGGGACUGUCUGCGUCUAGCAGACGGAAGUUUGAGGCAAUAACAGGUCUGUGAUGCCCUUAGAUGUUCUGGGCCGCGCGCGCGCUACACUGACGGAGCCAGCGAGUUUUUUUCCUUGGCCGGAAGGUCUGGGUAAUCUUGUGAAACUCUGUCGUGCUGGGGAUAGAGCAUUGCAAUUAUUGCUCUUCAACGAGG
rnacentral:rRNA from 1 species